GGUUAAUAUCCACCUUGUCCCUUAAUACGAAUAUAAUGAAGCGUUGCCUCCUAGGGUGAAACGUAUCCGUAGUUUGUGGAGCAUGCGCUCGAAUUUUGCUGUAAAAUGCGCCACCGCUGAAAGCUCGCAGCUUAUUCCUGACGAUUUUACCCCGAAAAUCAAAAUCAAUAUAAGUCUUGAGAUGUUGAGGUGUAGACGUGUUUGUCCGUUCAGCUCCCAUAUGUUUAUUGACAUUUAAAACGAUUGACUGCGAGUUACACAUUCCUAAAUACGGCGCCAAAUGGAAGAAAAAAAACAUGUGAGAGUGUGUGAAAAAAAUCGGGGUUAGUUGUUAACAUGCACCUGCACUUUGAGAGGACCAUCAAUGCCAAAAGUGAUUGCUCCAUUCUUUCGCUCACAUGGAUGGGCAAAGUGCCCGAUGAACUGCCAGAGGACGAAGGAUGGAAACUGAACAGGACAAAUUACUAUCAGGAAGGUUGGCUGGCUACAGGCAACGUUAGGGGUAUCGUUGGGGUGACUUUUACAACGUCGCAUUGUAAGAAAAACGUUGAAUUUCCGCUCAGGACGAACUAUAAUUUGAGGGGACAUCGAUCCGAGGUAAUCCUUGUAAAAUGGAACGAGCCGUACCAGAAGCUCGCCUCCUGCGACAGCUCUGGCAUAAUCUUCGUCUGGAUCAAGUACGAGGGUCGCUGGUCAAUCGAGCUAAUAAACGACCGCAACACUCCCGUGACCCAUUUCUCGUGGUCCCACGACGGCCGAAUGGCCCUCAUCUGCUACCAGGACGGCUUCGUCCUUGUCGGUUCCGUCGCCGGACAGCGCUACUGGUCCUCGAUGUUGAACCUGGAGGCGACCAUCACUUGCGGCAUCUGGACACCCGACGACCAACAAGUCUACUUCGGCACCACCUCCGGCCAAAUCAUCGUCAUGGACGUGCAUGGGGCGAUGGUAUCGCAAGUCCAGCUCAGUUCAGAGGUGGGUAUCACGUCCAUGGCGUGGUCGUGCGAAAAAUUCAAGAUGGAAGAAGGCGAUGAGAAUGACCCGGGAGUGGCGAACGCCGGCGAAAGGAAGUUUGUGUUGGCGGUGUGUUUGCAGAAUGGGUUCAUUUUCCUGCUGAAGACGUUCGAUGACGUGUCGCCGAUUCAGAUUGAUACGGGGAUGCAAGGACCCUUGUGCAUGGAAUGGAGUAAUUCGAGGGAGUUGUUGGCGGUGGCGGGCGUCGCUUUCGACAACAAAAGCGCCGGAGUUCAAGUGGAGUACACCAAUUUGCUGAAGUUUUAUAACGAGAAAGGCGUUUUGUUGUAUUCGGCCUGCGUUCCGUUCACACAGGCCCCAGUGUCGGCCCUAACUUGGGGCCACAACGACAAAAGGCUGUUUCUUGCCACCGGCACCCAAAUUCACAUCGCUUGGGUGUCGCGUAGAAUUGCAACGCUUCAGUUACUUUGCCGGUUGCGAAUUCACGAUUCUAUCCAACAGGAAAGCCAACUACCUGCCUUGCCCUUACCGGCUCGAAUACGUAAUUUGAUUGGAAAUUUGUUUGCUCAAACUAUUAGGUGUUGCGUCCCCGAAUCCAGUGCUUUACGCGAAUUCGUCUCUCGCCCCCCUGUCGGUUCCGUCAGACUUCACUGUACAAUGAUCCGUCACGACGACGACAACAACCUAUCUUCAGGAACUUGCUACACCCUAUAUUUGGAAUAUCUAGGCGGGCUGGUACCGCUCCUCAAAGGCAAAAGAACCAGCAAAAUCCGGCCCGAAUUCGUCAUUUUUGACCCCCAAGUCGAAGAUAUCCACUUGCAGUGGUCCCCGGAAUCGAAAAGCUCCGGCUCUUCGAGCCAAUCAACCAGUAUUGUGGGCGUUUUAUCCGACUCCUCGGACAGCGACAGAGAGGAGGGCUGCACCAGCUCCCCCCGCAUGCAAAGACGCCGAAAACGUCGAAACAAAUCGCGCGGCCCCACCGAAAGACACUCAGGACAGAGCUCGGGGGACGCAGAACCGGAAGACCUAGCCUACGUUGACACGCUCCCCGAACACGUCCGGUUGGUGGAAGUAACGUCGAACAUUUGGGGCACCAAAUUCAAGAUUCACGGCUUGGCAACAUUAGUGCCAGCGAAUUUGGGACAAGUCACUUACAAAACAUCGCUAUUGCACCUGCAACCGCGUCAAAUGACUCUAGUGAUGACCGAACUCCGCGACGAUUUCCCGGUGGUUCCCGACCCGAAUUUCAACCCGAACCUGUUUUCCGAAGACGAGGAGGAGGUGCAACUUGACGGCAGGAAAAUCCCAAGGGGGGCGAUCGACAACAGCCCCCCCAUAGCCCCAAUGUCGCCGCGUGGCAGCCGUUUGGCUAAUUUGGCAAAAGCCGAGUCGUACGAAGACGAGUACGAAGCUAGUUUUUGUGAUAAUAUCCGUCCACAGACGUCUACUAAUCUCAACCUACGUCCGAGUAAUAGCACGCAGAGUACUAGCUUUGUGGGGCAGUUUAACCGCAAUGGGGCCCCGAAUGGGGCCCAAAGACACGCCAUUUCGCCACUUUGUUGCGAGGGCUCGGUCCCGGCGCUCCAAUCGCCGAAGAACGCCGUGGCCCCGAGUGACAUCAUCUUCGACCGGCCCCCAGCUCAGACCCUCAUCACUUAUGCGAAUAGUGACUACGGGAACAACGUCAAAAACAACUUUAUCGAACAUCACCAGAAAGCUGUGAUUGUGAAAAACGACAAGAAGAAAGAUUUGAGUUUUAUCGACGAGGAGGCCCUUCCGGGCCCUUCCACGUCAAUCCGCCCCUCGAACACUCUAUGUUUGGCUGAUUCUAUGGUUCGCAGCUGCAGUGUGGGUUAUUUGGAUAUGGUGGACGCCCAGUUAGUUCCAAGCGAUGUUGCGCUUUUAAUGCUGCGUAAGGACGCCCCAAAACGACUGGUUUUGGUCAAUCGAAAGCAAAAAACCAAACGCCAGAAUCGGCAAAAUCGCGAAAACCGCACCAAUAAAUCACCGAAAUUGAAAAACUGUGGUAAGUCGAAAAGUUUGGAUUCGAGCGAUUUGUUCCCGAACACGGACCCGGUGAUACCAUCAUCUAAGGCUAAUUUUAUCGAAGAAGUUAUACCGGAGGUUAGCAAUAAAUCGAGCAGUUCUUCGCCGGAGACUGUCGAUGAGAAUUCGAAUAAAAAGGAGCCGAAGUUGGGGUUUUUUGCCUCGAGAUCGCCACUCAUGCGGCGGAAGAAAACGUCGGAGGAGAAGACCAGAGGACGACCGAAGCAGAAAAGUGCGAAUCAACAGGUGGACAACCAGAGGAAUGGCAUGCCGUUGCACACGCAGGCGUUGGCCAAUUUGGAAAAGUUGAUUACGCGGCUGCGGGAGGACGAUAAGGCGGCGGCGGCGGCGACGCCGCCGCCGACGCCGCGCCUGCCCAGGAGUUCGCCGGCGUCGCCGGCGCCCAGCAAAAAGGGUAAGCGGCCCCAGUCAGCUUCCCCCAUCCGCAAGAACCUCCUCUCUUCGCCGUUGUUGGGCCGAAGGAGUAAAAAAAACCGCCACCAGGAGAGUUCCGACGACGAGGUGACGGCAUCCGGGGACGAAGUCUACAACGGGACGAACUACCGCGACUUGGAAACGUUUCAAAAAGCACAAUUACGCCAAAAACUAAAGCGCGGUAAGAUCGAGCCGAACGGAAGCACCCACUGUAACAAUCACUUGAUACCUCAACGACGGGAAUUCGUAAUGCACAAUAAGGCGCCAAUGUGGAACGAAAACAGCCAGGUGUACCAGCUGGAUUUUGGUGGGCGGGUGACCCAAGAGUCGGCGAAAAAUUUCCAGAUUGAGUUUCGGGGAAAACAGGUUAUGCAGUUUGGGCGUAUUGACGGGAAUGCCUACACUCUAGAUUUCCAGUAUCCGUUUUCCGCGCUUCAGGCGUUCGCAGUGGCUUUAGCUAACGUCACGCAAAGACUCAAGUAGGUGGUGGAAGCAUAUCUUGUUGACAAAACGGUGCCAAUUUAGCCAUGUUUUUCGAUCGUUAAGCCGACCAAAUACAAUGAAGAUUAAAUUUAACAGUACAAGCUUAUAGUUGAAUCUCUCCAAAACUACAAUUUUUAGAACAAAAUGGACACAAAUUCGGAAUCCUCAGGUAAUUUUUCCUUAAAAAUAAGCGAUAACUUUUGAUGAAAUCUGGUGAAAAAUUAGAGAAUUAAAUUGAAAAAAAGUGGAAGAAAAUGUUUUCUUGAGCUAAUUCGCCGACUUUUGAACUCAAAGUAUUUGCGUUUUAGGUGAAUUAUUGCAAUUAUAUAGUUUUUAAUGUUGAUUUAUUUAAAAAGUUUGUGUUAAAAUAUCUGCAAAACACGGUCAGUACCUGGGGCCCGAUGGCCCAGUGGUAUAAGCGCCACUUACGACGCGGGAGGUCGGGGUUCGAACCCGGAUCACGGCAACAAUUUUUCUAUGAAAAAAAGUGUAGAAAAGGUAAGGAAACAAAACGUGAGCAAAAAUAAGAGACUGAGAGAACACAUAGACGUAUAAACGUAAAGCGGAGCAUAAAACUGACAGAAAUAAGAAAAUAAUGCGGCAAAAAGUAAAAGUACGUAAAGGCGUCAAAUUGUAAACGUAAGAGCACAUCAUAAUAAAGGAAAAUACUUUU